AUUCUCGCGGGUAGAAAACACACACAUAUCGUCACAUGGUCCUGGGUGCCUUGGAAGAUACUGAGUAUUACUAAGUUUUGCUUAUUAAUCAGUAUCAUAAGGUUGGAUUAUGGGAUAUGUGGAGGUUUAAC
rnacentral:sRNA from 1 species